UAAAAUAAUUAAGGGCACACAAAGGAUGCCUAGGUAGUAAGAGCCGAUGAAGGACGUGGUAAGCUGCGAUAAGCCUAGAUAAGUUGCAAUCGAACGUAAGAGUCUAGGAUUUCCGAAUGGAGCAAUCUAUUAAGAUGGAGUCUUAAUACGAAAGAGGGAACCGCGUGAACUGAAACAUCUAAGUAACGCGAGGAAAAGAAAGUAAAAACGAUACCCAAAGUAGCGGCGAGCGAAAUGGGUCAAGCCUAAACCUUAAAUAUGUCAAGGAUACAGCCGUUGUAUUUAAGGGGUUGUGGGACAGAGUGAUGAAGAACUGUAAGAUAUUCAAUAUAGUGUAUUGAUGAAUUAGAAUUGUCUGGAAAGGUGAACCGUAGAAGGUGAAAGUCCUGUAUAAGUAAAUCCUUACACAUAUAACUUUGCUCCCAAGUAACAUGGAACACGAGGAAUUCUGUGUGAAUCUGUGAGGACCAUAUCUCAUAAGGCUAAAUACUCUUACUAACCGAUAGCGCAUAGUACCGUGAGGGAAAGGUGAAAAGAACCCCUGGAGGGGAGUGAAAUAGAACCUGAAAUUGUGUGCUUACAAGCGGUCAGAGCCCAUUUGGGUGAUGGCGUGCCUUUUGGAGAAUGAUCCUGCGAGUUACGUUAAACGGCGAGGUUAAGUAUAACGGAGCCGAAGGGAAACCAAGUCUUAAUAGGGCGAUUUAGUCGUUUGGCGUAGACGCGAAACCUGGUGAUCUAAACCUGUCCAGGAUGAAGCUGUGGUAAGACACAGUGGAGGUCCUAACCCACCGCCGUUGAAAAGUUGGGGGAUGAGGUAGGUUUAGGGGUGAAAAGCCAAUCGAACCAGGAGAUAGCUCGUUCUCUCCGAAAUGCAUCUAGGUGCAGCCUUGAGUGUUCAAUUAUGGGGGUAGAGCACUGAAUGAUCUAGGGGGCAUAUUGCUUACUGAAAUCAAUCAAACUCCGAAUACCAUAAUUUAUAGCUCAGGAGUGAGACUAUGGGAGUUAACUUCCAUUGUCAAAAGGGAAACAACCCAGACCACCAGCUAAGGUCCCUAAUUAUAACUAAGUGGGAAAGGAGGUGGAGAUUCACAAACAACUAGGAGGUUGGCUUAGAAGCAGCCAUACCUUUAAAGAGUGCGUAAUAGCUCACUAGUCGAGAGUCUCUGCGCCGACAAUGUAACGGGGCUAAGUUAUAAACCGAAGCUGUGGAAUCCGUAAGGAUUGGUAGGAGAGCGUUCUGUAGGCCGUUGAAGAAGAAGGGUAACCAACUUUGGAGGUAUCAGAAGUGAGAAUGCAGGAAUAAGUAGCGAGAAAGGGGGCGAGAAUCCCCCUCGCCGGAAGACCAAGGUUUUCAGGGUAAAGCUUGUCUUCCCUGAGUAAGCCGGGACCUAAGCCCAGGCUAUAAUGCGUAGGCGAAUGGAAAACAGAUUAAUAUUUCUGUGCCAGUCAUUUAUUGUGAUGGAGGGACGCAGAAGGGUAUGCGCGCGGACGAUCGGUUGUGUCCGUAGAAGUAUGUAGGAUGACUUAGUAGGUAAAUCCAUUAAGUUAUAUCUGAGGUAUGAUAUACAGUCGUAAGAUGAAUGUGCAAAUCCCACGCUGCCAAGAAAAGCUUCUAACGUUAAUAUAUGACUGCCCGUACUGUAAACCGACACAGGUGGUCAGGAUGAGAAAUCUAAGGCGGACAGGCUAACUCUCGUUAAGGAACUCUGCAAAAUAACCUCGUAACUUCGGGAGAAGAGGAGCCCUUGAGUGUUAGUAUCCAUGCGAUACAAAGCGCUCGAGGGUCGCAGUGAAGAGGCUCAAGCAACUGUUUAACAAAAACACAGGUCUAUGCUAAGCUGGAAGGCGAUGUAUAUGGGCUGACACCUGCCCAGUGCUGGAAGGUUAAGAGGAGGAGUGAGAGCUCCGAAUUGAAGCCCCAGUGAACGGCGGCCGUAACUAUAACGGUCCUAAGGUAGCGAAAUUCCUUGUCGGGUAAG
rnacentral:rRNA from 1 species